GAGAAACACAUUAGAAAUGCAGGGGACUGGGCCAUGGCACGCCAGGGUUCUCAAGUGAACACUGACUGUCACCUCAGUGCAACAGCUCCUGGUCCCACUCAAGGAAAUCUGGACACUCAGCAGCCUGCCCGCAAGCAAAUCCUCUGAAGUUCAACCCAACUGUGUAGGAAGCAUCCUUGACCCCCCCCCAAAACUGGACACGAGCUCCCCAUGGUCAGUGCAGUGUCGCUCAGUCAUAAUUCACUGGUGACAAGUGAAUAUCUAAGGAACGGAAUAUCCUUACAGUCCCCCCCACACCUUCGAGAUGAGGUAAGGAGAGGAAGUGGGCCUAGAGGGAGAAUGGUUUAGAAACAGGAAAACUCGGGAGUCCGGCAGUAGC